rnacentral:tRNA from 1 species
GCCAGCAUGGCAUAGUGGUUUGGGCAGUGGAUUAUGAUUCUAGGGGCCAAGGUUUGAAUCCUUGCUCAACCA